GAUAUUUUUAGAAGAGAGGUACAGGUUUAUGAAUUCGAUGGUCGUAUAACAGAAACAAUAUAACUCCUCACAAAAGUCGCUUUGAAUCAGCAGUAUACAUCCACAAUAUAUAUUUCAAUUUGUAUCUGGAAAGACAUAAGCGAAUUUCAUCUUUCGCACGGAAGUAUCGACUAAUCGACUCAAUUGAACAGCUUUCUAGCAACUAUACGGCACAUGUCUUCGGACUGAACUACAAAUAACAGUAUUGUUGGGAGUUAAAACUUUCUGGGAAGAAGCCCGGAGCCGGAGGACAUUAUACUGGACAGUAUCUUUUGAAAGGAACAGUUAGCAGCAGUGACCGUUAACAUCCCUGACUGAAUGGGAAGAUAUUGGAACACCGUGAUCAUUUCUCCGCGGUCAAAAAUGAAUUCACCGCAGAGUCCUAACAGUCCAAAGUCACCGAGUAAAUUCCUUCAAACGCUCCGCAACUCGCCUUCGUUACUACGAAAACGGUUCAUGAAUUCAGAUGGUGAUUUGUACUGCGAGGGAACUAAGGAGCGGACAUUCCAUGUGCGUUACGGAGGACGCGUACCGGUGCGGUCACUGCGCGUCCGUGACGCGGUUACCGCUGUUGAAAAGUUAGCGCCGUUAGCUAACGCGCUCCAAACGCAACACCAGCCAAUCAACACAACGUGUGCAUUGCGCGUGGAUAAAAGCACGAUCACGUUUGAGGACUCUUCCCGCGAUGUGCUGGAGUCAUUACCGCUGUUCUGUAUCGCGUACUGCGCGACGGACCUCAGGCAUCCACGCGCCGUGGCGUUGACGUGCAAAACAAGAGAAUCUAUCCAUUGUUACGUUUUCGAAGCGACGACGCGGGACAAAGCGUUGGAGAUAGUUAACUAUGUCAGGAAGGCUUUUGAAGCUGCUUGGAUGGACUGGAAGAGAAGUCAUUCUGAAGGUGAAGAUCCUCGAGAGCGACAAAUAAGGCUCUCACCUCCUGGACAUGUGCCACUUUAAACAAAACAAAAACAAAAAAAUCGUUCAUGAUGGCCGGUUUAUCUUUUUUUUUUAUAAAUAAACCAAGAUGGGAUCUACAAUGAUGCUGUGCAGCUUUUGUUGCUUUCUUGCUCUUGACAUUUGAGGCAUAAGACUUGCCAAUAUAAAGACUAUAACGAUGCGAGCAGAGAAAUUUCAUUUUGAGCUAAUUUUAAUGUUUCUUGCCUAUGGACUGCUUCUAUUUAUAAAUCUAUAUACAACGCCUAAAUUCAAAAGUAUUGCCAGUUGAAAAACAAAAACUGUGUCAAACACAGUUGCAUUUUUUUUUGGCGCCAUAUAGGACUAUCAUUGAUAUGAUUAUAAUGAAUUUAUUCUACUUGUAGAUACUUUGCCAUCUGUAAAACGUUCCGCAAACAAGCAUAUUCAAAGAUGGACUGAGAAAUAUUAUAUUUAUGAAAUUAUACCCGACAGCGGAAAAGGCGUCACUUUAUGAUGAAUAUGGGAAGAGUUACUUAUACAUGAACUAUAAUGUGUGGUCAUUUUAAGGGGAUCAGAAAUGAACUAAUAAUAUUUGAGCCCUAUGGUGAUAACAGUGUUGCCUUUCCGAAAUUGAGCAUUUAUUAUUUUUGGACUUUGUUCUCGUACUAUUUGUCUCUCGUAAAUAUUUUUCCCGCUUCACUUUUUACUGGAAUUUACAAAUUUGCAUGAUGUAUGUUACACACACACACACACGAGCAGAUCUCUAUCAAGGUGAACAGCUUGAUAAUUCACACAUGCAUGACUUUAUCCUAUCUCGUCAGUCAGGCUCGUCGAACACGCUGGGAGAAAUAUAUGAUGGUACAGGGGGUACGGGGGGACGUGGCCCCCCAACCAUAUAGUGGUGAAAAAAAUAUGUAAAAUGAGAAACAGCUAGAAAAGACAGAAAGGGACUAUACCUUCCGUACCCCUUAGUCGGAAACAUUUUCAUUUUCAUUUUGCGGUGCCAGCUAAUCGUUUCAGUGCUCCCCAAUAGGUGGACUCACCUACGCCACGGAUGAUGUAAUAUGUGACCCCCCCCCCCCCCCUCCGCCCCAUUUGUUUGACAAAGGACGGGAAAGAUCGAUGGCGUGCAUCCAUGCAUUGCAAUAUUUGUUGCAUAAUCUAUUGAUGAUUAAUAUUGGUAUUUCCCAUUUCGGAUUUUGGUUUUGUUUCGUUGAAUGUCUUUUUUUAGUUGUCUGACGUAAGCCUAAUUGCAAAUACCACCGAGGCAAACUGUUAUAAAACUCUUGCCACUAAAAAAAUAUGGUUUACGAAUUGGGGCCCUAAAAGGAUUACAAAAUGAUAACCAUAUUAUUCAUGUUGUGUAACAAAUUUUAGAAGAAAAUGUUAUCUUUUUGCCAGCGCCUGUAAUAAUCCCAUAUGAAGAAAGAUUUAUUUUCAUUUUUGAAAAAAAAAGAGGUUUGAAUACAUUGCUACACACGCUUGGAGCACAUACUCUUGCCUAUGAAUCUGCAAAUCUAAAAGACCGGUAUGAAAUACAGGUUAAUUUUCAGAUUGUUAACAAAAAUGAUGAAUUGAAUUGGCUUCAUAAUUUUUAAUCUAAAUUUCAGUAACAAAACCAGGGAUUCUUUUGCAUACAUUUCUUUCGUUAUCCCUCUCCAAUAUCUAUUAUUCUAUUUCAAAACUGUGUAAAAUUAUCAUCGUGUGAAUGAUGGCUUUGUUCGAUUACGGUAUUCUAUUUUGUAUGGUGCAAUUCUUAUAAAGAAGCAAACGAUUAUUGAUCUUUGAAAUGUAUCUGAAUUCAUUAUUACGUCGUUCGAAACCAUGGAAAGGUACUAAACGAAUACUUCUGUGUGCAGAACUAACAAUAUCAUACUUUCUUUAACUGUUCGCGUUCCACGCCUUUUUAAUAAAAUGUUACCUGUUAUGAAAUGUAAUACUUCCGGGUACACUUUCAUACUUGAAAAAA
rnacentral:lncRNA from 1 species